GGAUUAGCAGGCCAAUUACCAAGCCAGCAGGUCCCCUACCCACCCCCAGGGGACUCCAAGGAGGUAACCUGAGGACAUCACAAUGAGUACUAUUUGUGAAGUGCUUCAGUUUACACUGGGUUUGCAGGUGACACUUUGCCACAGCCUUGUGAGGUGAACAUACAUACGUCUGUUCCAAGAGAGACAGUGGGUCCCAGCCAGGUCUCCCAGGGACGCUGGAGUGAGAGAACCCUAGGGCUGGACCCUAGUCCCAACACACACAAGCCGUGCAAGCUUGUGUCAGAUUCAUCGUCUCCAAGCUUCUGUUUUCCUCAUUUACAAAAUGGACCUCAUAGCCACCCGGCAGGUGCAGGAGGAUCUGGAUGUGAACCUGAAACGUGUAGGCCUGGAAGUGCCAUCCACCUUCUUGCUGCUACAUGGAGACUGAGCAUGAGGCCCCCAUGGAGGAGAGGAGGCCUGAGAGAGGAAGAGAGAUGCGUCCUGAGGACAUCAGACCCCUCCCUCCAGCAAGUUCUACCCCAGGUGUUUAAACUGCAUGGACCAAUGUAUUCUUUUGGGGUGGA